rnacentral:sRNA from 1 species
GCGCAUUUUAAGUCAAACAUUUAUAUGUGUUAAUCUUUGUCAUUUACAUAAGUAGGUACUUCUAUUCAAAGUGUGGGGACAAGAUGUUUUGCGAAAUGCACUAGAUUACAAUGACAUUCGACAGAGAAAGUCUCAAUGAUACUACGCACUCAAUUAAAACGCACAUCAUAAUAUUACCUAUAUUAUAAAAUUAACGAUAACCUAUAUUUAGAAUUGUUCACCAGUUACGGGGUAAUAUUGUCAUUUUAAUGUCAUUGAUAUUUAUCAUGUUAUGUAAAUAAAUCCAAUUAUUUAG